rnacentral:ncRNA from 1 species
UGAGUGGAUGUGCUAGGAGUUCUUUCACCAUCAUUUUCAUUUUCUUAUUGUAAGGAGAGAAAGUUUGUGAGGGCCCAAGAGCCUUCCUUUGGAGGAAGAAGGGACUCAUAGUCCCCUUUCUUCAUUGUGCUUUGAUUUCAUCAAUUGAUCAGCCUAAAAACAUUGGUGAUAUUGGUCUUUUUGUGUUUGUUAUUUAUUUAUCCAUAUGCUUAUUAUUUUAGUUUGUAUUAGUUUAAUUCUUGCUUAUAGUUUUGUUGUUCUUUCUCUAACUCUUUCCUCUACAGCUGUCAUGCUCAGCAAGACCCAACUGGGCAUGUAAGCACCUCUUAUUUGCUCACCACGGUGAUGAAGAGGGUGCAAACAGUUGUGAGUUGUGUUUGGGGGGGAGUUAUUGUCUAUCGUUGGCCUCUAUGGUAGAAUCAGUCAAGGAGGUCUGAGAGACAGUGGUUUACCCUAUGGAAGAUGUCAGCGGUUCAAUUCCACUUAUCUCUAGCCCAUGAUCCUAGCCAAUACAAUGGUAUAUGAUAGAACAAAAUUAUUCAGAUCCGAUAAUUUAUGAUUUAUCAUUCAUGGACGUUGAUAAGAUAUUUCCAUUUAGUAGCAACUUAGGAUGGUAUAGCCUUUAAUGACAAGGUUCAAACGAGGAAGGGAUUACGAUGGAUACCUAGGCACCCAUAGACGAGGAAGGGCAUGGUAAGUGACGAAAUUCUUCUGGGAGUUGAAAAUGAGCAUAGAUCCAGAGAUUCUUGAAUAGGUUAACCUUUUUAGCCACUGAUUAAUCCAUGGGAAGGCAAGAGACAACCUAGCGAACUGAAACAUCUUAGUAUCCAGAGGAAUAGAAAGAAAAAGUGAUUCCCGUAGUAGUGGGGAGUGAAAUGGGAGUAGCCUAAACCAUGAAAACGAGGUUGUGGGAGAGCACAAUAUAAGCUCUGUGCUACUAGGAAAAGCGGUUGAGUCCUGCACCCUAGAUGGUGAGAGUCCAAUAGCCAAAAGCAUAAUUAGGUUACGCUCUAACCCAAGUAGCAUGGGGCACGUGGAAUCCCAUGUGAAUUAGCAAGGACCACCUUGCAAGGCUAAAUACUCCUGGGUGACCGAUAGUGAAGUAGUACCAUGAGGGAAAGGUGAAAAGAACCCCCAUCAUGGAGUGAAAUAGAACAUGAAACCGUAAGCUCCCAACCAGUGGGAGGAAAAUGAUAUCUCUGACUGCGUGCCUAGUGAUGAAUGAGCCAGUGACUUAUGGGCAGUGGCUUGGUUAAGGGAACCCACAGGAGCUGUAGUGAGAUCGAUUCUUCAUGGGGAAAUUGUCACUGCUUAUGGACCCAAACCUGGUGAUCUAUCCAUGACCAGGAUGAAUCUUGGGUGAAACUAAGUGGAGGUACGAAUAGGCUGAUGUUGAAAAAUAAGUGGAUGAUUCAUGGUUAGGGGUGAAAUUCCACUCAAACUUAGAGCUAGUUGGUUCUCCCCAAAAUGCAUUGAGGCGUAGCAGUUGACUGGACCAUCUAGUGGUAAAGCAUUGUUUCAGUAUGGGCUGUGAGAGCAGUACCAAAUUGAGGCAAACUCUAAAUACUAUAUUUCCCCAAUAAAAUGGGUAAAGGUUAGCCAGUGAGAUGAUGGGAGAUAAGCUUCAUCAUCGAGAGGGAAAAAACCCAGAUCAUCAGCUAAGGCCCCUAAAUGACCACUCUGUGAUGAAGGAAGUACGAGUGCAAAGACAAUGAGGACAUUUUCCUAGAAGCAACCAACCUUGAAAGAGUGUGUAAUAGCUCACUAAUCGAGCGCUCUUGCACCAAAGAUGAAUGGGACUAAGCAAUCUAUCAAAGAUGUGGGAUGUAAAAAUACAUUAGUAGGGGAGCGUUCUACCUCAGAGGGAAGCACCGACGCGAGCAAGUGUGGAUGAAGUGGAAGCGAGAAUGUCAGCUUGAGUAACUCAAACAUUGGUGAGAAUAUAAUGCUCUGAAAACCUAAGGGUUCCUCCGUAAGGUUUGUCUAUGGAGGGUGAGUCAGGGCCUAAUAUCGGGCCAAAAGGCGUAGUCGAUGGACAAUAGGUUAAUAUUCUUGUACCACCCCUUGUUGGUCCCGAGGGAUGGAGGAGGCUAGGUUAGCCAAAAUAUGGUUAUCGGUUCAAGGACGCAAAGUGACGCUCUAUACAUUGAUUCAAAGGUAAAAGAAGAAUCAAAUAUAGGUGUGUACAAGGUGAGGUUGGGGGUGGAUAUUCCUCAUCAU